GUGAAAACACACAAACACAGAGAAGAAUGUUCAGUAUUGUGUCGAGUCUAUGUUAUCAUCGCACCAGAGCCACAAGCAUCUGUCUCUCUGAAAGAUGGAGAAUGUCAGUAAUUUUUUUUCCCUGUGAAAUAAAAGGCUAAAAUGUCUUUUAUUAUUCGACCAAAAGCCUAACACCCACAGAUAUUCAAUUUGAUGCACAAUAAAAAGUGAUUUCUAACCGAGUUUCCAAAAGUGUGUCUCUAUUUGUAAUCCAAAAAACAGAUUUCACUUCCAUCUAUUGUCUAUUAUUAUUCUAGAUUCUAGAGAUUAUUUUCUCUAUUAACUGUUUUCUAAAUAAAAUGUCAGAAAAAAAAUGAUCUCAAGUUGGGUUUAGUUCAAUGUAUGAAACCACAGUGGGAGAUUGCAGUUUCGCCACUAGAGGGCAGUCAGGUCCAUGACAACCACAUGAGCCUGUGAUUCAUGAUGCUGCUGUUGGGACUCCAGCUGUAUUUUAACCCCGCUGGACUGUUAGACAGGACUGUGAAAAGUGUUUGGAGGGGCUCCAACCUGUUGUCACUAGUUUCUAACAAUAGACGGCCUGUGCUGCCGAUAAGGGCUUUUUAUCCAUUCAACCAGCAAAGCUAUUGUUGGAGGGCCGAGAUUUGUUUUUUCCUCUGUCAGGAAAAAAAAAAAAAACGAGAUAAGCGGUAAAGUACACAGAUCACAAUGCUAGACUGAUACACACAAGUGAGAGUGAACAAACUGCUCUACAAACGCUCCCAGUAGACAGCACUGCUUGUUAACCAGCGGUAGACGCUCUGUAUACAGCAUAUGACAUAUGUUGCAUUUCUUUUUCCUAUUCAACUAUUUUUAUCUGUAUUUUGCCAUUUUAAAAAAUCAACAAAAACAUCUGUUCUGAUGCUCGGGGACAUGUUUGUUAAUUUGUAAGUCAAAAGUCAAAAGUGUUCAGGCAAAAAACAACUAACAAAAAAAAAAAGAUCCUGUUUUGGAUCAAAAUAAAAACAGACUUCACUUGCACUCAGCAUCUAAGCUCAUCUGGUGUGUUAAAGAUUAUAAUACAAUAGGAAAAACUCUGUUCAGGGGUGAAAUAAAAAUCAAAAACUCAUCUUGGACUUGUUUGUUUCGUACUGAGUGAAUUUCUCCCAUAUUUUCCUCCAUUCCUGGCACUGAUCCUUUAAGGAAAGGGCACUUUUCUUUUUGUCAGUAAAUCCCCCCAAAAAGCAAAACCAACAAUGCUUUGUUCCAUCUAGCAGUACUUUUAGACUUCCUGUUAGCCCCAACCCUGUUAGCUUGAGACCUAUUACGCCUCAAAUGCUGAGUUUAAUUUUUUUUAAAGGCUCAGUAAUUUCCUUAAACAGCUUUCAGCAACUGUCGCUUAACCAGGAGUAAACAGUGCAGUUGUUAGAGACUAUUUUCAAUCGUGGGUUAAUACACACUUGGUGCUCUAUAGUGAGUAUUUCCUGCUGCAGCCAUCCAUGGAAUAAUUUACCUUGAUUCAUCAGAAAAUCCCUGAACUUUUAAAAAACAAUUGAUAUAAGGCUGUUCUGACAGAGUUUAGACAUUGAAUUAGAACAAGAACAGAGCUUAUUGUGUCCUAUAUAAUGAUUGUAGACUACUACUGUACCUUGUGUUAUUUCAUGUAUAUGUAUUUAUGUAUGUGAAUGUGUAUUUUUAUCUUUUCCUGGGAUUUGUUGACAACAAGAAAAAAAAUCACCAGUUUAUCCUUUAAAUGGCUCCAAAAGCAUCAAAAAUGUGCAGUAAAUGGGAAUCAAAAGCUUUUUCCGCACAGCUACCGGCCAUCAUAGAGAGUGGGAAAACACAAUGUUGUUUAAAACAUAAUGGAUAUUUUCAGUCAUUCAUGAUGUCUCAGAGAAGCUGAGAGAAGACUAAGGGGGGGGGGCAACAGGUGACAAAAACAGAUCUUCCCUUUCCACCUUUGCUCCUCUCAGCCAAAACUGACAAUUGUGCAACACUCCUCUGCUCUAAUAUGUGAAUCUCAAUAAAAUCGAACAACAAACAAUAUUCAAAAAUCGAAUCAGCGUUAACAGAAAAUAAACUCUACUUUUACAUCAGCAGUUUGUUUGUUGGGACUGAGUUGGAUCACAGCAGUAUUUUGUAAACAGGAGGAUCAGUUAGUGAAGACUGUGAUCACAUUUCACAGACGGGUGGUAAUUCCAGGUCACAGUCUUUGUAUCAAUGACACUGAGGAGCCUUUUCAGCUGUUGGCAAAAUACUUUUAGAGGUCAAUGCAACUUUUUAGCGCGACGUGACUGAAGCGUCUCAGAGGCCAAACCCCUCUCUGCAUUUACAUCAUCUUGCCAGUAACAAGAGGAUUUCCACACAUCUUCUCAACAUUUUUUUUUGUUACAACAAGGGAUCUUAAACAUGUCUCUGCCUAAUCAUUAUGAGAGAGGUAUUUUCACCUGUAAGUGCCUGCAUAUUUGUGAAUAAUGCUCAAGCAAUGAAAGAUGAUCUAUUUAUGGCUGUUUCCUUUUGGCAACAGAUCACUCAGGUUUUUUCUUUUCUUUUUUUUUUUUGUUCUUGACUCUGUCCAGGUAGCGAUAAGACACCACCCAUUUACCGUCAUUAUCCAGCCUGUGACACUUCCUGUUCUCAGAAACUAACGAAAAAAAAAAAAACUGCUGAUUGGCUUUCCCUCCCUCAAUCUGCAGCUGAGAUCUUGACAGAUUUCCCUUUGGCUAGAAACAGAGUUUAUAAAAUUAUCUUCCUCUCUGAAUGAGUGGUUUCUGUGUUUUUUUUUAUUUUUAUUGCAUCCCUGCAGUUAUCUCCUGCUUAAACAAACACUUUAUCUCAAGCUCUUCCAGAGAACAGAAGUAGCCUCUUGACUCCUGUUUUUCAUGAGGUUGAUGAACCCUCUGACUUCACAUCGCCAAGUCCUGACAGGACUCACAGUAAUGCAGACCACACUGACAGAUCAUCAUCAUAACACCGCGCUGACUCAUUUCUUGACAGGAGUGAAUCAGCCGACACGCUGUCCCUGCUCUCACUUUGGUGAUUUGGGCUGCUGGGAAGGCGAGGACGGGACCUGUGAUUUGGGACUCACCACAAUGACUGCAGACAUUUCUAAGAAGCCACAGCCUGUUUUACUGUGUGUGUGUGUGUGUAUUUGUGUGUGUGUGUUUCUGUACAGUAUGUUCAAGGCUGUAUUUUGUCUACUAGGCAAAACUCACAGACUAAAACUGAAUAAAAACAAUGGAAACAAAGCAGAGAUGCACAUUCUUCAGAGGAAAACUCUGGUUCAUUACAACUUGGGUUUUGUUUUUAUGGUUUGGCUUUUAUUUUUUUGGCUAUGAUAUCUGUGAGCUCCAGUUAAGCACAUAUCCACAUACUCUGAAUUGUUUCCAUUGAUGAUAAAUGUUACGUUCUUAUACACCGAUCAGCCACAACAUUAAAACAUUUAAUGUACAUUUAAAAAAAGUGAGUAAUAAAAAGCUAAAAGAAGUCUUGAGUUGCUGGUGGUUUCUGGGAGCUGGGAGAAGGAGGCGUCAGGGUUCCCCCCGAGGCCGGGGCGCAACAGCUGCUAACUGCUCCACUAUGUUGACCAGCUCAGUGCUAAUUGUGUCUAGUUUGAAUCUUUUUGUUGCUACUGGAAACGAGAUUGAUGAGAGUGAGACUGAAUCAAAGUAAAGUAAAGCUGAGGCUGUGAAAACCAAAAGAAUGAGCUGAAAGACUCUAAAAGGCUCAUUUCACGCUAUCACUUAGGCUGCAGCCACUAAUAUAUUUUCAUUUUAAAACAAAAACGGACAUCACAUGACUGUUCAUGUACAAUGGGCAUGUGUGUAAUGGUGUAAACAGGAAGCAGACUGUCUCCUCUGCAGUUGGUUGCAUAGUAGCAGAAUAUUCUGCAAACAAGGAACAGCAUUGGCAAAAAUUAAGUUACUGAGAGUAACACGAGAAUAAGGCAGCAGUAGCGGCUGAUUUGGAGAAGGAUAUGUCGUGACUGACAAGACCCAGUCUGAGUGUGUAUGUGUCUGAGUUUUUGCACCUGAUUUGCAUCUCAGAAGAAAUUCUUGAUGAGGGGAGUGACUAGUUUCACCCACAGCUUGACGUGGCGGUCCGGCUGCUCAAAUGUGGAGCUGGACACCUCAGUGGAGCGCUGGUACAACAUCUCCUGCUCCUGAGAGACAGAGUUUAAAACACAGAAAAACAUUCUGCUGCUGACACAAGGGAAUUUCUUCAACGACUUCUGAGCGCAUGGGAAAACAAAGUCUGCUUGAAACUGCUUUGGUCUGGACUGCUUUAAAAAAAAAAAAAAAAAAAUCUCAUAUUUCUCAAUGAAAAUAUUCCAAAUCCAAAAAGUGAUGAGUGUUAUAUUUGCACUACUUUAAAAGGAACCUAAACAAUUUACAAGAAGUAAACUGACACAAGAGCUGCGUUUGAAAACAGCUGCUUCAUCAUCAGUUAAAUCAAAUCCACCGAUAAACGCAGCUACGACAUAAUGUAAAUAAAGUGUUUUUUAAAUAUGUAAAUGUUUGCCACAGUUUGUGCUGUUGUAUUGAAUUACAGUACACUGCGCUGGAGAUCAUGUUACUGUUUUCAUUCCCAGAAUAUGUGACUAAUAAACUCUGAAUAAAAGUUCAAAUAUUUGUCCAUGGUUUGUUAGCCACGUAUGACCUUGUUAGUCACAUCUCCAAAAAGUGUUUUUUAAUUAUUUGUUAUUAAGUAAAAGUCAAAGUUUUACCAACAUUAUGGAGCCACAAGGUGUGUUUUUUAUCAAUUUCAGCUCCACAUAUGACUCGGCCAAUCAGAAGAGGUCAGGUGUGG